CGGACGGGUGAGUAACGCGUGGGGAACCUGCCCUGUACAGGGGGAUAACACUUAGAAAUAGGUGCUAAUACCGCAUAAGCGCACAGUAUCGCAUGAUACAGUGUGAAAAACUCCGGUGGUACAGGAUGGACCCGCGUCUGAUUAGCUGGUUGGCGGGGUAACGGCCCACCAAGGCGACGAUCAGUAGCCGGCCUGAGAGGGUGAACGGCCACAUUGGGACUGAGACACGGCCCAGACUCCUACGGGAGGCAGCAG
rnacentral:rRNA from 1 species